rnacentral:rRNA from 1 species
UACGGGGGGGGCAAGCGUUGUUCGGAAUUACUGGGCGUAAAGGGCUCGUAGGCGGCCAACUAAGUCAGACGUGAAAUCCCCAGGCUCAACCUGGGAACUGCGUCUGAUACUGGAUGGCUUGAAUCCGGGAGAGGGAUGCAGAAUUCCAGGUGUAGCGGUGAAAUGCGUAGAUAUCAGGAAGAACACCUAUGGCGAAGGCAGCUCUCUGGGACGGUACUGACGCUGAGACGCGAAAGCGUGGGGAGCGAACAGG